AACCUUAUGGACCUGCGGGCGUAUACCUGCGGAGGGAUCAUUACACAACAAAAUAUGAAGGUCUGGCUUCGCGGCCGGCUGAAGUAUUUUUUUUCACCCAUGUCUUUUGCGCACUUGUUGUUUCCUGGGCGGGUUCGCCCGCCACCAGGACCAAACCAUAAACCUUUUUUUUAUGUAGUUGCAAUCAGCGUCAGUAAAAACAAUGUAAUUAUUACAACUUUCAGCAACGGAUCUCAGAUC
rnacentral:misc_RNA from 1 species